GACGAACGCUGGCGGCGUGCUUAACACAUGCAAGUCGAACGGAAAGGCCCUGCUUUUGUGGGGUGCUCGAGUGGCGAACGGGUGAGUAACACGUGAGUAACCUGCCCUUGACUUUGGGAUAACUUCAGGAAACUGGGGCUAAUACCGGAUAGGAGCUCCUGCUGCAUGGUGGGGGUUGGAAAGUUUCGGCGGUUGGGGAUGGACUCGCGGCUUAUCAGCUUGUUGGUGGGGUAGUGGCUUACCAAGGCUUUGACGGGUAGCCGGCCUGGGAGGGUGACCGGCCACAUGGGGACUGAGAUACGCCCCAGACUACUACGGUAGGCAACAGUGGGGAAUAUUGUACAGUGGGAGGAAGCCUGAUGCGGCAACGCCGCGUGCGGGAUGACGGCCUGCGGGUUGUAAACCGCUUUCGCCUGUGACGAAGCGUGAGUGACGGUAAUGGGUAAAUAAGCACCGGCUAACUACGUG
rnacentral:rRNA from 1 species